GUGCUCACUUCAGCAGCACAUAUACUAAAAUUGGAACAGAGUAGAUUAGCAUGGCCCCUGGGCAAGGAUGACAUGCAAAUUCAUGAAGCGUUCCAUAUUUUA
ensembl:snRNA U6 U6 spliceosomal RNA